rnacentral:rRNA from 1 species
UACAGAGGGUGCGAGCGUUAAUCGGAAUUAUUGGGCGUAAAGGGCGCGUAGGUGGCUCUAUAAGUUAAGUGUGAAAUCCCAUGGCUUAACCAUGGAAUUGCACUUGAUACUGUGGAGCUAGAGUAUGGUAGAGGGAAGUGGAAUUUCCGGAGUAGCGGUGAAAUGCGUAGAUACCGGAAGGAACACCAGUGGCGAAGGCGGCUUCCUGGACCAAUACUGACACUGAGGCGCGACAGCGUGGGGAGCAAACAGG